UACGUAGGUGGCAAGCGUUAUCCGGAUUUAUUGGGCGUAAAGGGAACGCAGGCGGUCUUUUAAGUCUGAUGUGAAAGCCUUCGGCUUAACCGGAGUAGUGCAUUGGAAACUGGGAGACUUGAGUGCAGAAGAGAAGAGUGGAACUCCAUGUGUAGCGGUGAAAUGCGUAGAUAUAUGGAAGAACACCAGUGGCGAAAGCGGCUCUCUGGCCUGUAACUGACACUGAGGCUCGAAAGCGUGGGGAGCAAACAGG
rnacentral:rRNA from 1 species